UGCCAGGCCAGAAAACUGCUUCCUGGAG
rnacentral:piRNA from 1 species